rnacentral:rRNA from 1 species
AUGAGCGCUAGCGGCAGGCCUAACACAUGCAAGUCGAGGGGUAUAAAUAGCUUGCUAUUUUGAGACCGGCGGAUGGGUGCGUAACGCGUAUGCAAUCUACCUUAUACAUUGGGAUAGCCCGGAGAAAUUCGGAUUAAUACCUUAUAGUAUAUUAAAGUGGCAUCAUUUUAAUAUUAAAGAUUUAUCGGUAUAAGAUGAGCAUGCGUCCCAUUAGUUAGUUGGUGUGGUAACGGCAUACCAAGACUAUGAUGGGUCGGGGUCCUGAGAGGGAGAUCCCCCACACUGGUACUGAGACACGGACCAG